ACAGUACCAGAGGAGAAAGUGGAAUCUCUUUUUAAUAAUGAAAGCUACAGUAGGCAAUGAUAUUGUAGAACAAAUUACAAAAAAAAAAAGCAAGGUGAAAUAAGAUUCAAACAGGGAUGCUGUGCUUUAUAGUUCAGUUGCCUGAAGAUGGACUUUCAUAACUAGGCCAGUCAGCAUCUCUCCACUUCUCAGCACAGUCUGAUGAACCAGUAUGAUUUUUUUUUAACAUCAGCCUCAUUUAUUGCAUAAAACUCAGCAGCAUAAAUGCAAGUAAACGUGUUGUGUUAACCCUGUGGAUGAGAAAGUUGUCAGUCUUCACUGUGGCUAAUGCUGCACACAGUAAGAGUAAUAUGAAAAUGCGUAGUAGGAGGAGAUGAGUAUUGAGCCAGAGGCAUUGUAUUCAUCUUGUGUGAACAGCCAGCUUGCUUCAUAAUAACCUGAGCUUGGGGCUCAUAACAGUAGCCAGGUAUGAGCCAUGGUGGAUGUCAUUCUGGAGAUUGAAUACAUCAAGAUCAACGUAUGUGAGUUAUGCAGUAACAACAAGAUCUAAGCAAAAAUUCAAAACUAAAAAGGCUAGAAACUGUUGCGAAUUCUAGUCCAUUUAUGAAGGUGCUAAUGUGAUAAAUUUCCUUAAGGUUUUCAGCUGUAAUCUUUCCACUGAACGUUUUGCCCUUCCUUUCAUGUUUGAAGUUGUCUGGGAGAGUUAUUUGAUUACGUUCAAGUAUUUAUGUUGAUUGCUUGCUACCUGCUUUCCAGCCUGCAAAAAUAGGUUAAAAAAAUUGAGUUAUUCUAGGAAGAAAAAUAAAAGUGAAAUUCAUAAUGGAAGUAUGUGGUAAUAGCAGAAGUAAAAAGAAACAUAAAGGGCAAAUAGGAAUGCUGCUGAGCACAAGUCUUUUUAAAGCACAAUUUCAGUUAUUAAGGUUUUAAGCAAUUAAUUCAACUUUCCUGCUAAGUUCAGAGCUGUUGUAUCAUGGGAGAAUAUAAAUCUCUUUGGAUAAGCUUCCCCAUGACUAUCAGAAAUUGGCCUAUCAUGGAUUAUGUUCAUGGAAUUAUAUUCAGGCCCAAUGUUCUUCCAUACAGGAAAAAGCUUGGUCUCUUACACAGUUAUUCUGAACUCUUAAACAAAAUAAGAGAAAGUUUUUUUCCAAUUAUUGAUAGCCUGAAAAAAAAUGAUGGAAAAGCAUCUUUAUUUAUUCACAGUAAUUGGGACCUUGUUGCUGUGUAUUAGGGAAACAAUUACAAUAUCUCAAAAAGAAAAAAGUGGAAAAGGUGAGUAGUUGUGCUGUCACACCGAGGAACAUUCCUUCAGUGUCCAUAUCAUCUGGAAUCCAUGGUGAUCUGUUGUCAUAUUUUUGCAGUGAAGAACAGUAGAAGGAUGGCACCGUGUACUUCAGCAACAGAAGCAGCAGUACACAAACCAGCUUGCCAAAGAAACUGACAAAUACAUUAAAGAGUUUGGAUCUUUGCCUGCAACAAGUGAACAGGUAUAAAACCAAAGAACGUAGCUUGUUUGACUAUCAUGUUGGCUCAUGUAGAGUAUUUGAGUGACUUCAGUUCUGUAUGCCUAUUUUUUGUACUCUGCACCAGGCUUUGUAAACACUGUUUGGUCAGUCAGGACAUUUUGGCAGGGACAACUACUACACAAGUAUAUUUUUGUGCAACCCAGACUUGUUUCAAAGAUGUUUUUAAAUAUCAGGAUUGAGUUUGACUGAGAAGGCAGGACUCAAGACAGUACAUUGUGCCUGUGAUCUCAGCUACGGCACUCAGUAUCUGUAGCAAUGCUGCUGCUGAGUUUGACUUACCAGGCACUCUGAGUGCUUCCAGUGGCCAGGAGUUAUUGCCUGCCUUAACCAUGUGGCAGAUGACCAAAUCUGUCACACUGUCCAGAUAACUUAUGCAGAUCAGACUUAUUCUGCACAACUCAGAUCAGCAUAUAUGCUAUGUCUUGUCCACAAGCUUUUCUUUUCUUAAGAGGAAUGGACAGGAGCUGUUACUGAAACAAUUUGUGCAGUCUCUGUGCUGCUUCUUUCCCAGAUUUGUGUGAAAUACAGGCAGGAGUUUACAUGCAAAGUAGCUGUUGUUAGUAGCUUGCUCUCAACUUCUGUCCUUUGAUUUCUUAUAGUAAUGAAAUCCAUGACUUAAAUAAGGAAAAAGCAAUAGGACCCCAGAAAAUAUGAAUGCAGCCACUUGGACAAUUUGUCUGAUCUGUGACUUGUUAGCAAGGAGCACUUAGGAAAGUGUAUUGUCUUGAAACAUUUCAAAUGGCAGGCUGUGUUCCACAUGGGCUCUGCCUGUUAAGUUGUAAACUUCUAAUAGAGUUAGAACUUGGUCUUAGUAUAUAACCUCUGGUUGAGGCAAAGAUGUUUUUUAUUCUUUGCCUUGUCGCUGAAAAGUUGACAGUGGGAUAUUUUACUGUUUAAUUCUAAUCCUUUUAUCGUGAGCAUUUUCAUCAAAGACAAUGAAAUACACAGAUGUUGGGUUGAUGAAUGGCAAGUUAUGGCCUUUCACAAAUUUGGAAGACAGAGUUGGUAUAAUGGAUAUAUUUAGGGAAAUAAAAUUGAGGCUUUCUGGUGUACCUGGUAUUGCCAUUUCUUCUUUGGCAUCUUCCUCAAAAAAAAA